AAUUCUCAAUUUCAUCAGUUUUGUUAUGAAACUGUGUGAAGCUUGGAUGUGGGGGCUUGCAGAAUGCUUUUUACAGUGUACUGCUCUCCUUAAAUGAAUUAGCGAGUUCAAACUGGGCUCCGUCUAUUGGUGUGAUAAUUAUCUACGCCGUGGAUUGGGCUUAGACUUGCUUCUAACCGUCUGAAAAGACAACUUUUGACA
rnacentral:misc_RNA from 1 species